UACGAAGGGGGCUAGCGUUGCUCGGAAUCACUGGGCGUAAAGGGUGCGUAGGCGGGUCUUUAAGUCAGAGGUGAAAUCCUGGAGCUCAACUCCAGAACUGCCUUUGAUACUGAGGAUCUCGAGUCCGGAAGAGGUGAGUGGAACUCCGAGUGUAGAGGUGAAAUUCGUAGAUAUUCGCAAGAACACCAGUGGCGAAGGCGGCUCACUGGCCCGAUACUGACGCUGAGGCACGAAAGCGUGGGGAGCAACAGG
rnacentral:rRNA from 1 species